GACGAACGCUGGCGGCGUGCCUAAUACAUGCAAGUCGAGCGAAUGACGAGAAGCUUGCUUCUCUGAUUUAGCGGCGGACGGGUGAGUAACACGUGGGCAACCUGCCCUACAGAUCGGGAUAACUCAGGGAAACCUGGGCUAAUACCGGAUAAUCCUUCGAAUCACAUGUUUUGAAGUUGAAAGGCGCUUCGGCGUCACUGUAGGAUGGGCCCGCGGUGCAUUAGCUAGUUGGUGGGGUAUCGGCCUACCAAGGCAACGAUGCAUAGCCGACCUGAGAGGGUGGUCGGCCACAUUGGGACUGAGACACGGCCCAAACUCCUACGGGAGGCAGCAGUAGGGAAUCUUCCACAAUGGACGAAAGUCUGAUGGAGCAACGCCGCGUGAGUGAUGAAGGUUUUCGGAUCGUAAAACUCUGUUGUAAGGGAAGAACAAGUACGUUAGGAAAUGAACGUACCUUGACGGUACCUUAUUAGAAAGCCACGGCUAACUACGUGCCAGCCGCCGCCGUAA
rnacentral:rRNA from 1 species